rnacentral:rRNA from 1 species
AUGGUCGUCUCGCUUCUCCGCGCCGCCGCCCCAUACAAUCGCGCCGCCGCUUCGCGUCCCUCUCAACGAAGAGGGCUACAAGAGUGGGGAGAACGCCGGUCGCUGGGCCUCCGAGCGCGAAGACACAGGAGGAGAAGCUCACGGAGGUGGCGGAAAUCUCACAAUCGCAUCUCCCGUCUCUCUCCCGUCCAAGUCAGGCGACAAAGACCGGCGGCUGCGACCACGCCCCACCACCGUGCCUGUUUCUCCGGCUAUCUCCCCUUCCUCUCUCCGCUUGUCUAUCCUUGA